AUUAAGAUAAGUAACCCGAAUCUUUUAGGCAGUAUCCUAUCAUUUAAAGGGUUUGCCUCUGGCCCUGCUACUCCUUAUGGCUGAGGACUCUCUGGAGUUUAAGAGAUACGCCCACCCUGGCUGGUUCUCUUGGUCUCUAAUUUUGGUGUGGAACUCAGACCAACCAAGAACUCUAAACCUUAAUGUAGCCUUCCGGGUUGUUAUGAAAGUAUAAUUUUCAAGGUGACAAUGAUUUAAACAGUCUCAAACAGCUCAUCCCUCAGUUGAGAAAGCUGAGCGCUCCCUUUACACCACACUCUGAAUUAAGUAAGCCACCACAGUCCUUCGGUUCUAACGCAGCACUUCCACGGCUCCUGGAAAGACUAAUGAAGCCCAAGCAUAUUCAUGACAGUUCAAAAGAAGUCCCAUGAGCCCACUUACACUCCUUAUGCAGCACGCGUUUUUCAAAGGUUGACUUAUUUUUAGUGCAUGGCACUGGCUCUCUUUCAAAGGCUCUGUAUUA
rnacentral:lncRNA from 1 species